UCGGAUUGUAGUCUGCAACCCGACUACAUGAAGCUGGAAUCGCUAGUAAUCGCAGGUCAGCAUACUGCGGUGAAUACGUUCCCGGGUCUUGUACACACCGCCCGUCACACCAUGGGAGCCGGAAAUGCCCGAAGCCAGUGACCCAACCUUAGGGAGGGGAGCUGUCGAAGGUGGAGCCGGUAACUGGGGUGAAGUCGUAACAAGGUAGC
rnacentral:rRNA from 1 species